UCAUGCACAUUUGCAAAGUUGGAAGGGAGCUCAAGUUGAUACGCAAGGUCGCCUCUCUUGCCAACAACUCUGAAAGGACCAACGAAACGAGAAGCAAGCUUGCCUUUGAUACCAAAACGUUGUGUGUCCUUCAUAGGUGUGACAUCCCGGUAAUUAAGCUACAGUAACUCCACCCUAAUGAUGCUAGGUCAUCAUAUUUAACUGAGCUAGGUUGUCACUUAAUAAAAAUCAAAACAGUUAUCAUUUUUAAUUUAAAGACAAACGAAUUAAAUUUUAAGAUGUAAGAAAAAUAAAAAUGUUUGAGUUGUAGCAGAUAAUAGUGGUUAAUAUAUUUUCUAAACUAGAAUGCGGAAAAAAAAAUAUAAAGAAAUAAGCAAAAGGGUAAAAAAAACUGAAAAUGAAAUACAAACAAAGAAAAAAAAAA
rnacentral:lncRNA from 1 species